UGAACGCUGGCGGCAGGCUUAACACAUGCAAGUCGAACGGUAACAGGAAGGAAGCUUGCUUUCUUUGCUGACGAGUGGCGGACGGGUGAGUAAUGCUUGGGAAUCUGGCUUAUGGAGGGGGAUAACUACGGGAAACUGUAGCUAAUACCGCGUAAUAUCUUCGGAUUAAAGGGUGGGACUUUCGGGCCACCUGCCAUAAGAUGAGCCCAAGUGGGAUUAGGUAGUUGGUGGGGUAAAGGCCUACCAAGCCGACGAUCUCUAGCUGGUCUGAGAGGAUGACCAGCCACACUGGAACUGAGACACGGUCCAGACUCCUACGGGAGGCAGCAGUGGGGAAUAUUGCACAAUGGGGGGAACCCUGAUGCAGCCAUGCCGCGUGAAUGAAGAAGGCCUUCGGGUUGUAAAGUUCUUUCGGUGAUGAGGAGGGUGUUUGUUUUAAUAGAACAAGCAAUUGACGUUAGUCACAGAAGAAGCACCGGCUAACUCCGUGCCAGCAGCCGCGGUAAUACGGAGGGUGCGAGCGUUAAUCGGAAUGACUGGGCGUAAAGGGCACGCAGGCGGUGACUUAAGUGAGAUGUGAAAGCCCCGAGCUUAACUUGGGAAUUGCAUUUCAUACUGGGUCGCUAGAGUAUUUUAGGGAGGGGUAGAAUUCCACGUGUAGCGGUGAAAUGCGUAGAGAUGUGGAGGAAUACCGAAGGCGAAGGCAGCCCCUUGGGAAUAUACUGACGCUCAUGUGCGAAAGCGUGGGGAGCAAACAGGAUUAGAUACCCUGGUAGUCCACGCUGUAAACGCUGUCGAUUUGGGGAUUGGGCUUAGAGCUUGGUGCCCGUAGCUAACGUGAUAAA
rnacentral:rRNA from 1 species